rnacentral:rRNA from 1 species
AUUGAACGCUGGCGGCAGGCUUAACACAUGCAAGUCGAGCGGAGAUGAGGUGCUUGCACCUUAUCUUAGCGGCGGACGGGUGAGUAAUGCUUAGGAAUCUGCCUAUUAGUGGGGGACAACAUUCCGAAAGGAAUGCUAAUACCGCAUACGUCCUACGGGAGAAAGCAGGGGAUCUUCGGACCUUGCGCUAAUAGAUGAGCCUAAGUCGGAUUAGCUAGUUGGUGGGGUAAAGGCCUACCAAGGCGACGAUCUGUAGCGGGUCUGAGAGGAUGAUCCGCCACACUGGGACUGAGACGCGGCCCAGACUCCUACGGGAGGCAGCAGUGGGGAAUAUUGGACAAUGGGGGGAACCCUGAUCCAGCCAUGCCGCGUGUGUGAAGAAGGCCUUAUGGUUGUAAAGCACUUUAAGCGAGGAGGAGGCUACUGAGACUAAUACUCUUGGAUAGUGGACGUUACUCGCAGAAUAAGCACCGGCUAACUCUGUGCCAGCAGCCGCGGUAAUAC